UACGGGGGGGGCAAGCGUUGUUCGGAAUUACUGGGCGUAAAGGGCUCGUAGGCGGCCAACUAAGUCAGACGUGAAAUCCCUCGGCUUAACCGGGGAACUGCGUCUGAUACUGGAUGGCUUGAGUUUGGGAGAGGGAUGCGGAAUUCCAGGUGUAGCGGUGAAAUGCGUAGAUAUGUCAUAGAACACCGAUAGCGAAGGCAGCUCACUAGGUCUGGAUUGACGCUCAGGGACGAAAGCGUGGGGAGCAAACAGG
rnacentral:rRNA from 1 species